rnacentral:rRNA from 1 species
CCUACGGGAGGCAGCAGUGGGGGAUAUUGCACAAUGGGCGCAAGCCUGAUGCAGCCAUGCCGCGUGUGUGAAGAAGGCCUUCGGGUUGUAAAGCACUUUCAGCGGGGAGGAAGGCGAUAAGGUUAAUAACCUUGUCGAUUGACGUUACCCGCAGAAGAAGCACCGGCUAACUCCGUGCCAGCAGCCGCGGUAAU